AGAACGAACGCUGGCGGCAGGCUUAACACAUGCAAGUCGAGCGCCCCGCAAGGGGAGCGGCAGACGGGUGAGUAACGCGUGGGAAUCUACCCAUCUCUACGGAACAACUCCGGGAAACUGGAGCUAAUACCGUAUACGCCCUUCGGGGGAAAGAUUUAUCGGAGAUGGAUGAGCCCGCGUUGGAUUAGCUAGUUGGUGGGGUAAUGGCCUACCAAGGCGACGAUCCAUAGCUGGUCUGAGAGGAUGAUCAGCCACACUGGGACUGAGACACGGCCCAGACUCCUACGGGAGGCAGCAGUGGGGAAUAUUGGACAAUGGGCAAAGCCUGAUCCAGCCAUGCCGCGUGAGUGAUGAAGGCCUAGGGUUGUAAAGCUCUUUCACCGGUGAAGAUAAUGACGGUAACCGAGAAGAAGCCCGGACUACUUCGUGCCAGCAGCCGC
rnacentral:rRNA from 1 species